rnacentral:lncRNA from 1 species
CAAUAGGUGUUCCCACUCCGUAACCUUUGGAGUCAAUGAGGCCCCCGAUCUGAGUGAGGUUGCAGUUUCUCUGCGUCACAUACUCAAUGCUGGUGGACUCCAUCAGCAGCGCGUAGUCUGUGGUGGAGAUUUUUGAUUUCUGGAGGGAAAGAAAACACACUCACCAGCAGAAGAGGGCUGGAAAAAUACGACCUAAAGAUCAUCUGCCGAAUCUAUGGGGGAUUCCAUUCUCUCUACUGUCAAGAAGGCAGCCAGAUUGGCCGUGUAGGAUGAAAUGAUGAUUAGGGUGAAAAACCACCAUAUCCCUCCAACUAUUCUGGUCGAUAGAGCUUUGGGCAUCAGCUCUGAUCCUGUGAUGGUAUCAUCAGAGUAAGGGUGUUAAACACAGUCAGAAGGAAAGGGAAGAUGUACAGUUCGACACUAUUCUAGGAAGAUCAACCUGUAAAAGACUUACCGUCUUGUAGGUAGAUGAAAUAAAUGCAUUUUAUAGAAAAUGGAGCAAAAUCUUAAGGAUUAUUUUCAAAUCAUUAAUCACUACUAUUGCUUUAACUAUAAUUUAUCAGUAGCUGAUGGUAUUAAAACAGUUUUAACCUGGAGGCAUUCCAUGUCUAAAAUUUAGUUAGUUUAGUUGCUUAGAAUUGAAAAGUCAACCCCAAGACUUUUUGCCUUUUAUUACUGUCUAAAUGCAUCUUAUAGUGUGAAGUAAAAUAUUCUGCGUCUUUGUAUAACUAUGAAAAUAUUUGAAAUGCUAACAUUUUUAUUUAAGGUUAAAGAAUGAGAGCUACUUGUAAAAUAUUAACAUGCCAUUUAUCACAUAUACUUUAAUAAAACAUUGGGAUUUUACAAAUAAAAUAAGAUGCAGCCAUA